UACAAACUCUGCUCCAAAUACACGACAGUACUACAAACUCUGCUCCAAAUACACGACAGUACUACAAACUCUGCUCCAAAUACACGACUGUAGAUAAGAUUCUGAACAUCUGUCACAUCUCUGGCCUCAAAUGCAGACAGGCCUUUGCCCAGCCUUUUCUCUUACGAUAUCAUGAUACUGAUACUGAUACGAUACUAUGAUCCAUAGAACUGACCCACAUGUGUAGAUAUGUGGAUGUUCUUUAUCUCAAAUACACAACAAAGAAGUUCUGUGGUUCAAUCCAAACACCGAGACCAAAUAUGACCAGUUCAUUUGACCGUCAGGGUACCAUGUGACUGUCAGGGUACCAUGUGACCGUCAGGGUACCAUGUGACCGUCAGGGUACCAUGUGACCGUCAGGGUACCAUGUGACCGUCGGGAUACUAUUUUAUCCUGAUCGUCAGGAUAUCGACUGAAUCGAUAUUUGGAGUGUUAUCUGAUCCAGCACAUUCUUCAGGUGCAUCUCACUACAAGAACCUCUGAGAACCUCUGUCCACAACAACACACCACACAGCAGGUCUGGACUCUGGUCUGGACUCUGGUCUGGACUCUGGUCUGGACUCUGGUCUGGACUCUGGUCUGGACUCUGGUCUGGACUCUUUGAGCACAGUAGACUUCGGCCAAAGCGGCAGGUGGUGGUGGUUCAUGAACAUCAGAAGUAUCGGCCAAUCUGAGCAGAGAAUGAGCAGUAAGCCCCACCUUAAAGCGUCAGACAACCAAUCAGACGCAAAGGGAUGAACAAGCACUUUUUAAUUUCAAGCACUUGGUUAUUAUUGAAAGUGACCAACGGAAAGACCUGGUUUAGACCUGGUUUAGACCUGGUUUAGACCUGGUUUAGACCUGGUUUAGACCUGGUUUAGACCUGGUUUAGACCUGGUUUAGACCUGGUUUAGACCUGGUUUAGACCUGGUUUAGUCCUGGUUUAGACCUGGUUUAGACCUGGUUUAGACCUGGUUUAGACCUGGUUUAGACCUGGUUUAGACCUGGUUUAGACCUGGUUUAGACCUGGUUUAGACCUGGUUUAGUUCUGUGUAGUAUUUUAAUAUAAAAUGUAAAUACUGUGUUAUUAGUGAAACUGUGAAUGAAACCAGGCCCUGCGUCUGAUUGGUGGAACAUGCGGGUGCACUGCUCAGGCUGCUCUCUGAUUGGCUAAGCCCUCCUCCUGCUGUGCUCUGAUUGGCUCGUUAAACUGCCACAUUUCUGUUCUGAAAAUGUACAGUGUUUCUGUUGCGAAUAAAUCAUUAAAGAAGUACUCAG
ensembl:lncRNA